AAAGGAACCAUGCGAUCUUACAACAAUAAAAGUGUGUAAGCUCGUCAUUGUUUCCUUUCU
rnacentral:pre_miRNA from 1 species